GAUGAACGCUGGCGGCGUGCCUAAUACAUGCAAGUCGAGCGAACAGACGAGGAGCUUGCUCCUCUGACGUUAGCGGCGGACGGGUGAGUAACACGUGGAUAACCUACCUAUAAGACUGGGAUAACUUCGGGAAACCGGAGCUAAUACCGGAUAAUAUAUUGAACCGCAUGGUUCAAUAGUGAAAGACGGUUUUGCUGUCACUUAUAGAUGGAUCCGCGCCGCAUUAGCUAGUUGGUAAGGUAACGGCUUACCAAGGCGACGAUGCGUAGCCGACCUGAGAGGGUGAUCGGCCACACUGGAACUGAGACACGGUCAAGACUACUACGGGAGGCAGCAGUAGGGAAUCUUCCGCAAUGGGCGAAAGCCUGACGGAGCAACGCCGCGUGAGUGAUGAAGGUCUUCGGAUCGUAAAACUCUGUUAUUAGGGAAGAACAAAUGUGUAAGUAACUAUGCACGGCUUGACGGUACCUAAUCAGAAAGCCACGGCUAACUACGUG
rnacentral:rRNA from 1 species